rnacentral:rRNA from 1 species
UACGGGGGGGGCAAGCGUUGUUCGGAAUUACUGGGCGUAAAGGGCUCGUAGGUGGCCAACUAAGUCGGACGUGAAAUCCCUCGGCUUAACCGGGGAACUGCGUCUGAUACUGGAUGGCUUGAGUUCGGGAGAGGGAUGCGGAAUUCCAGGUGUAGCGGUGAAAUGCGUAGAUAUCUGGAGGAACACCGGUGGCGAAGGCGGCAUCCUGGACCGACACUGACGCUGAGGAGCGAAAGCCAGGGGAACAAACGGG